CCUACGGGGGGCAGCAGUGAGGAAUAUUGGUCAAUGGACGCAAGUCUGAACCAGCCAUGCCGCGUGCGGGAAGACGGCUCUAUGAGUUGUAAACUGCUUUUGUACGAGGGUAAACGCAGAUACGCGUAUCUGUCUGAGAGUAUCGUACGAAUAAGCAUCGGCUAACUCCGUGCCAGCAGCCGCGGUAAUACGGAGGAUUCAAGCGUUGUCCGGAUUUAUUGGGUGUAAAGGGUGCGUAGGCGGUCGGAUAAGUUAGAGGUGAAAUCCCGAGGCUCAACUUCGGAAUUGCCUCUGAUACUGUUCGGCUAGAGAGUAGUUGAGGUAGGCGGAAUGUAUGGUGUAGCGGUGAAAUGCUUAGAGAUCAUACAGAACACCGAUGGCGAAGGCAGCUUACUAAGCUAUUUCUGACGUUGAGGCACGAAAGCGUGGGGAGCAAACAGGAUUAGAUACCCUAGUAGUC
rnacentral:rRNA from 1 species